UACGGAGGGAGCUAGCGUUGUUCGGAAUUACUGGGCGUAAAGCGCACGUAGGCGGCUUUGUAAGUUAGAGGCGAAAGCCCGGGGCUCAACUCCGGAACUGCCUUUAAGACUGCAUCGCUUGAAUCCAGGAGAGGUGAGUGGAAUUCCGAGUGUAGAGGUGAAAUUCGUAGAUAUUCGGAAGAACACCAGUGGCGAAGGCGGCUCACUGGACUGGUAUUGACGCUGAGGUGCGAAAGCGUGGGGAGCAAACAGG
rnacentral:rRNA from 1 species